rnacentral:rRNA from 1 species
UUCCGGUUGAUCCUGCCAGAGGCCAUUGCUACCGGAGUCCGAUUUAGCCAUGCUAGUUGCACGGGUUUAGACCCGUGGCGAAAAGCUCAGUAACACGUGGCCAAGCUACCCUGUGGACCGGAAUAACCUCGGGAAACUGAGGAUAAUUCCGGGUAACGCUCCCCCACUGGAAUGUGGGGAGCUGGAAAACGUUCAGGCGCCACAGGAUGCGGCUGCGGCCGAUUAGGUAGACGGUGGGGUAACGGCCCACCGUGCCCAUAAUCGGUACGGGUUGUGAGAGCAAGAGCCCGGAGACGGAAUCUGAGACAAGAUUCCGGGCCCUACGGGGCGCAGCAGGCGCGAAACCUUUACACUGCACGACAGUGCGAUAGGGGGACUCCGAGUGCGAGGGCAUAGAGCCCUCGCUUUUCUGUACCGUAAGGUGGUACAGGAAGAAGGGCUGGGCAAGACCGGUGCCAGCCGCCGCGGUAAUACCGGCAGCCCAAGUGAUGGCCGAUAUUAUUGGGCCUAAAGCGUCCGUAGCUGGCCGGACAAGUCCGUUGGGAAAUCCGCACGCUUAACGUGCGGGCGUCCAGCGGAAACUGUCCGGCUUGGGACCGGAAGACCCGAGGGGUACGUCCGGGGUAGGAGUGAAAUCCUGUAAUCUCGGACGGACCACCUGUGGCGAAAGCGCCUCGGGAAGACGGAUCCGACAGUGAGGGACGAAAGCCAGGGUCUCGAACCGGAUUAGAUACCCGGGUAGUCCUGGCCGUAAACGAUGUCCGCUAGGUGUGACGCAGGCUACGAGCCUGCGUUGUGCCGUAGGGAAGCCGUGAAGCGGACCGCCUGGGAAGUACGUCUGCAAGGAUGAAACUUAAAGGAAUUGGCGGGGGAGCACUACAACCGGAGGAGCCUGCGGUUUAAUUGGACUCAACGCCGGG